rnacentral:lncRNA from 1 species
GAGAAAGUACCAAGAAGGUCAAGUCUUGUUUUGAACUUGAAAAGGAAGCUUCAACACCAAAUUUCCCUCCAUUAACCAAUUCCACCAUUUUCAAAUUGUAGAUUGGUCAAGACUUGAAAUUGGAGAGUAAAAUUCUGACAAAACCGAGGCCAAUAGUGGACUGCCACAUCACUAAAUUACUGUUCACACAAUAUUUUGAGUUCAAAUUUUAGAUUUCUUAGUUUCAUUUUAUUGUUUCUUAGUUUCGUUUGUUGGUUCGAACA